CCUAAACUUAACCUAACAUAACCUAUCAAAACCCCAAACAGUUACUAUAUGGAUUGACUCAGAAAAUUCAUAUAUGCUUCCUUACUAAUGAGACUUUCUAUACAACUAAGUGAGGGAAUUCUUUGUUGAUUUAUACUGUAAAGUGCUGGCUAUCAUGUGUUUGAAGAUACCCUAAACUUAACCUAACAUAACCUAUCAAAACCACAAACAGUUACUAUAGGUCUUGACUCAGAAAAUUCAUAUAUGCUUCCUUACUAAUGAGACUUUCUAUACAACUAAGUGAGGUCAUUCUUUGUUGAUUUAUACUGUAAAGUGCUGGCUAUCAUGUGUUUGAAGAUACCCUAAACUUAACCUAACAUAACCUAUCAAAACCACAAACAGUUACUAUAGGUCUUGUCUCAGAAAAUUCAUAUAUGCUUCCUUACUAAUGAGACUUUCUAUACAACUAAGUGAGGUCAUUCUUUGUUGAUUUAUACUGUAAAGUGCUGGCUAUCAUGUGUCUGAAGAUACCCUAAACUUAACCUAACAUAACCUAUCAAAACCCGAAACAGUUACUAUAUAUGGAUUAACUCAGAAAAUUCAUAUAUGCUUCCUUACUAAUGAGACUUUGAAUACAACUUAGUGAGGUCAUUCUUUGUUGAUAUAUACUGUAAAGUGCUGGCUAUCAUGUGUUUGAAGAUACCCUAAACUUAUCCUAACAUAACCUAUCAAAACCCCAAACAGUUACUAUAUGGAUUGACUCAGAAAAUUCAUAUAUGCUUCUCUACUAAUGAGACUUUCUAUACAACUAAGUGAGGUCAUUCUUUGUUGAUUUAUACUGUAAAGUGCCGGCUAUCAUGUGUUUGAAGAUACCCUAAACUUAACCUAACAUAACCUAUCAAAACCCCAAACAGUUACUAUAGGUCUUGACUCAGAAAAUUCAUAUAUGCUUCCUUACUAAUGAGACUUUCUAUACAACUAAGUGAGGUCAUUCUUUGUUGAUAUAUACUGUAAAGUGCUGGCUAUCAUGUGUUUGAAGAUACCCUAAACUUAACCUAACAUAACCUAUCAAAACCCCAAACAGUUACUAUAGGUCUUGACUCAGAAAAUUCAUAUAUGCUUCCUUACUAAUAAGACUUUCAAUACAACUAAGUGAGGUCAUUCUUUGUUGAUAUAUACUGUAAAGUGCUGGCUAUCAUGUGUUUGAAGA